UACGUAGGGGGCGAGCGUUGUCCGGAUUUACUGGGCGUAAAGGGUGAGUAGGCGGUUAUAUAUGUCAGGUGUAAAAAGCUAUGGCUUAACCAUAGUAAGCACUUGAAACUGUAUGACUUGAGUGCAGGAGAGGUAAGCGGAAUUCCUAGUGUAGCGGUGAAAUGCGUAGAUAUUAGGAGGAACACCGGUGGCGAAGGCGGCUUACUGGACUGUAACUGACGCUGAGUCACGAAAGCGUGGGUAGCAAACAGGAUUAGAUACCCUGGUAGUCCACGCUGUAAACGAUGAGUGCUAGGUGUUGGGUAGCGAUAUUCAGUGCCGGAGUAAACACAAUAAGCACUCCGCCUGGGGAGUACGGUCGCAAGACUGAAACUCAAAGGAAUUGACGGGGACCCGCACAAGCAGCGGAGCAUGUGGUUUAAUUCGAAGCAACGCGAAGAACCUUACCAAGGCUUGACAUCCCCUUGACAGAUACAGAGAUGUAUCCUCCCCUUCGGGGGCAAGGGA
rnacentral:rRNA from 1 species